UUAGUUUUUCUUUUCAAAAACAUCCAUCCUUCUCAGUUCUCAAGUUUUAGAUUCGUUCUCUCUUUAAGAUCCCACUCAAAGAAUUUUCCAUCUCAUCAUUUUCCACACUUACUGUUUUCUCUUUUCCUUCUCCUUGCUCCAAAGAGAUCAUGUAACUGAAGCAAUGUAUUUUAAAUGAGUUGUUUCAAUGGACUGGAGGCUUGAAUAGCAAAUA